rnacentral:lncRNA from 1 species
GUCGCGUGCACUGAGGAAAUGGGCGCGGGGGCGGCGCGGGGGCGGCGCGGACUUCUGUGUGAGUCGGAUUUGCAGUGACUCUGGAGUUUUGUGACGCUGCCUGGGCACCAGGUGCCCUACUGCGCCCUCUGCCCUCCAGCUUCUGGGCCCACAGGAAUGGCUCCGAGUUAGGUAUCUGAACCCCAGAGUGAAGGCCCCCAAACAAAAAGACGCAAUCCUGAGAACUGCUGAACAGCUCCAGAGCACCGCGUUACGGCGUUCCCUCCCUAGGAAGUCGGUGAACAGAUUGCAGUUUAGCUUUGGUGUACUGUGGCCUUUCUCACUGAUCCUGGGAAGGGUCGGCUUUACGUCUUCAUUUCCAGCGGCUUAUGUGUGUGGAAGAUGGUGGGAGUAGCAGUGGCUGCGGAGUUGGGUCCUGAGUCAGGGCUCCGAGGCCGGGCUCCAAGAAAGGCUCGAUGUUUCGAUUCUCAUCUCUUUUCCCCAAUCCUGAUGAUCUUUAGGAAAGCGGAGGGAAUGGAGGAAGUUAUUGUUGUUGCAUAUAUAAAAACGUAACGUCAAUAUUAAUUUGUGUUUCUUCCUUUAUUAAAUGUAAUUUUAAUUUUUUCCAGGCAUGGGAUAUUUUGCUUCCAUCUUCUGGGAAAGAGCAAAAUCCGAACGGACGGGGGCGGGGCGGAGGCGCCGGGAGAGCGGCAGCCUUGUCAUGAUCAGGCUAGGAAAGAAGAGACAGCUAAAGCAAAAUUAAUAGAAAACAUUAUUUCCCCCUAGGUCAUACCACAGUUGUUAAAUACCAUAAA